rnacentral:lncRNA from 1 species
UACAUUUAUAUGACUUUAUUAUGUGAGUGGUUUAGAAGUGUCUUGUGUUCCUUUUACUUUGCUUGUUUUUAAUAAACUAUGUGUGUGAGAGUCUGCGUGUGUUCAUGUAUUUUUAUCUUCUCAAGUAUUACCUAAUAGCAUUACAAGAUAUAUAGUGAUAAAAAUGUGCCUUAUAUUUAGUCAAUUCACAUUUCUUUAUGUAUACUUUAGGAAUAUUUGUUUUAAAAUGAUAUUCAACUUUUUUUGACAUAUUCAAGUAUAGGAAAGAAAAGUUUAAUGAAAGAUAUCGUGGAACGAUUUAUGUGCAAAGAGUUUAGAAGUUAAUUUUGCUUUAUUGACCAAAAUAAAAUGAGGAAACAAAGAUUUACUAGGGUCAAGAUAUUAAUUGGAACAGAAAAUAUAACUCUUUAUUCUGAAAUGCACCUGCAUGUUAACAACAGUUUGAAAAUCUGAAGCACAGAUUUUAAAUGAAUGUACAAUGAAAUUUUAAACUUUUUUAUUCCCCGUAAAAUCAUUUUCAAGGUGAAAUGGAAGUUAAGUACAUUUAAAGACUUUUGGAGCAGAAAAUAGAUUUACUUCAGGUGGUACUGGGUAAACUUUCAGUUUGUAAUGAAAUAGAUAUUCUUUACUAUUCAUGAUAAGGGUGAAUAAAAAUGAAGCACUUAGUUUAAAAAAAUAAACUGGAAAGAAUGUAACACUUUCACUCCUUAGGUUCUUAAGUCAUUUUUUUUUGUUGUUGUUGUUCUUUUGUUCUGUAAUUGAUUGCUAGCACCCCCUUUAACCCACCUUAAAGGGCAGCAGGAAAUUCAUGUUUUCGUUCAUCAGCCCAUCCCUCUGAAAGGCGUUCGAUAUUAAAACAGUUUGCAGGGAGCAAAAGCAGAGGAAACAAGAGGCCCAGCUAGCCUGUAGCAAGGUUAGAAGAUACACUGCAAGAUUGCCUGCAACAUUGCAUCGAGUCUUGUUCCUGUCCAGUAUUUGCAUGGAGAGAUCAAGUUAAUUAGGGUAUGACUGUUCUUCACUUUCUAUGUGACCUUUUAUUCUAUCUGUGGCUCUCUAGUUCAUGCGGUGUCAUAAAGCUAUGGGAAAGUCUUUCUAGCUGUUUGACACAAACUGGAAAAAAUUAAGCAUUGAUAUUUCCUUUUGCCUGAAGGUUUUUACAGCAGCAAAUUACUGCAGCGGCAAAGUUGAUGUUGUGGUAGAUUUGCUGUGGGUGUCAGAAUGUUUCUUUUGUCUUUUUAGCUCCCCGCCUUCCCUGAUGAUCAGGUGCGACCAAGAGAGUUGUGCAGAGAGGUGGGGGUGGGGGAGGGGGUUCAGGAAGAGGUUACAUGGCAGAAUUCCCACGAAUGCUGGCGAAGGAUGAAAAAGAUAAAGAAAUCUUGUUUUUCUGAACUAGAGGAUUCUCUGCAUGACUUCCCCACUGUUGGGGUGAUGAGCUUUCAGGCUAAGAUUUUAUUAACAAUUCAUAUGGAGAUUGAGGGCAGCGGAGGAGCAGAUUCUCACAUAAACUUGAUCUGUCCAUGAAUGCUGUUCUCUGUUUGCCCUGACCCUGCAUGGCUUAAGACACUGCCUGUGAGGCCAGUGUGCCAGACACAAAGAAAGAAAUGAAAAGCAAGCACAUUCCAGGAGUCUGCACAAAAGACCCAGCAGUUUCUAGUCGUCUCCCCAGAGAGGAUCUUAUCUCUGCAUGGCCAAAAACCUCUAGAAUGUUUUCAUUUGUGUACCCAAAGUUUUAAAAUUGACAUGGCCGUUUAUUAGGCAGUAGCCUAUAGCCCUGUUUUCUUAGGUUUUAAAGUUUUGUUCUCAGAACUUGUUGAAACUAGAAAAACAUAAGCAAGGGUGCAUUUUGUGAAGUUUGGCUUUAAAAGUCACUGGCCUUGAAUUGUUUUUACUUUGUUGAUUGGUAGGUACCUUGAAAAAUGAAUCCUUUUCAGCUUUAAGAGAAGCCAGAACAACAUUUUAAAGCUUGACUUGACUUCGUGAUGCCUUAUGACACUGCAACUCUGAAACUUGUGGCAGAGUUAAGGCGUGAGAUGAAAUUGACAUGGGGGCGCAAGCCAGCCACCCCCAUGCUCCUGAGCACAGACAACCUAGCUACAUUAAAGAAAGAAGCAAGUGAAAAGUUUGAGUGAGACAAAAGUGCAAGGGAGUCAGGGACUUUUAACGUUGUAAUAUUUCAGCAAUUAUUGGCAGUUCACUAUUUUAUCUAGAUGCAUUAAAACAGGAUCAUAACAAACUAUCACAAGAUAUUUCUUUGUAAUUUAAUAUACUACAUUUUAUCACCUAACAAAUGCACAUUCCAGGUGUCAGAUAUAUUAAAGUUUGGGGAUAAAUAUUUGAUAAACAUAAUUAAUUCGGUUGCUAAAUUACGUGUUUCCACAGAUUCUUAAAAAUCGGAAAAUCCAGAUACACAGACUCUUGAAUUUUGUGUAUGUGUUUAGCUGUUCAAGUUGUUUCAAACUUUUAUAGUUCAUGAAUUAAAUAACCAGUAGAGGAAUGCAGGCAAAUGCUAUUAAUUAUGAUAGGCUUUGUUCCUUUCAUUUUAUAAUGGUUUUAUUUCCAUGAAAUUAACUGUUGUACUUAGGCUAAUUGUCAGUAAUUGGUGACAGAAUCACUUCAUUGUUUUUCUAUAGCAUGAUACUAAUUAGGAUCUUUGCAGUAUUGGCUCAGCCAUGUUCUAUAUUCUACCUUCUAUAUUGAAUCAUUGGUACAUAAAAUCAAGUGCAACUUUAAAAAAAAAUCCAUUAGAUAAAAUGUUUCUAUUAAUAAUUAAAUCUUUUAAACAGCUAGUUGUAAAUUAAUUUUAAAAUAUUGAAAUAGAAGGAAGCUUUAUUAUAGAUUUGUUGGGUUCAUGAAACAUCAAUUGAUCUUUCAGAUUUGAAUUGAAUCCAGUGGAAUCAUCCUUAAAAUAUCACAGCUGUAAUUCCAACUCCUGAGCCACAUGCAUUUUUAUUAUUCUGUUUGUGUCUGCAACAUUGAAAUUAGCACUGCUAAAGUGUUUUGGUAAGGUAUCACAGGACUGGAUCCAUUGUCUUUCUUUUCAUGCCUGAUAGAGAUAUCAUAAAAUAUAGCAUAUUUUUGUUUGUUUUCUAACUAGUUUUUUUUUUUUGCCACAAGAAAAUGGUUUUUGAAGCACUUAUAUUUCAAAUGAAAAUAUAUAUGAAUAGUUGUGAUUAUAAGAGCUUAGUUUUAUGCUUUGUUUUAAAUUUAGAAGAUUGUGUUCCAUGUGGUUGACAGGUUAUAAAAAGAGAAAAUGAGAGAAUAUUCUAUUUUGUGAAGUGAGGUUUAAUGCCGAUGGGAGAAAAUAUUACAACUCUGUAUAUCCUAUUAAAACAAUCACAGUCAAUACUACUUUGCUCAUUUUUAAAAGAAUUCUUCUCAUCCAAUUCACCUGUGAUCUGUAUGAAUUUGUAAGUUAUGGAAGUUUUCUAAUAGUUUGAGGUAUAGCCUCCUUGCUUCUUUUCCUUGUUCUAUGGUACUUUUACCAAUCCGGUGCAUUUUGCAGUUUACAGUGAACUCAGUUUGUUUUAAAAGCAACCAUAAUGUAUAACUUAGAGCUUAGUGCCUCACAGUUCUGAAAAAAGUUUUUAAGAAGUGAUUAGGAAAAUAAUUGCCUAUUAAAAGGUGAAGAUUGGUUUAAGCAGGGAGAGAAGAAACUGAACUCUGAAAUUGAAAGCAUUCAUUAAUCUUUCUAUCAUUUUAGAAAGUCCAUAGCAAAGCACAAAAACUAUAAAAAUCUAUGAUUGUUUCCUUAAAAAGAGAAUCUUUUGAUUUACAGCAGUUAUUUGAAUACCCAUUCGGGCUCUUUUGUAAUGUGUUGGAAUAAAUGCACUUCUCCUAAAUGAAGAAUACUCAUGAGGGGGCAGAAUUCCAACAUAAACUAUGUUUAGAUGCUGUAUCUCAAUAGGUGACCCCAUAACAUUAAACAAAGGUUCUUUUUCUCUUCUCUCUGUUUUGUUCUCUGGAAAAUAAAUUCCUCAAAGCAAAAUUCAGUUUGUUCCUUUUUCACCCUAUUGGCAGAUAUGCAAUAUAUCCUCUGUCUCUUAUCAAAUAUACAGAUUAUGAAAAAUAGACAAGGUCAAAACGGACUUUUAGGUUUAAAAAUGAGAAAGUAUUCUAAAAGUUACUUUGGGAAGAUCUUUUUUUCUUUUUUAUUCAUCCUGCCUUAUAGACUCUGGAGUGUACAAUGCAACGGGGGUUUUCUUUCUUGAGGAUUCGAAGUGUACACGGAAAACACAAGAGAGGAAAUGGGACUCUGGUAAUACCGUGAGCCACAUCCAUGGGCAUUUAAAUCCUAUAG